rnacentral:rRNA from 1 species
UACGUAGGGGGCAAGCGUUGUCCGGAUUUAUUGGGCGUAAAGAGCUCGUAGGCGGCUUGUUGCGUCGGCUGUGAAAACCCGCAGCUCAACUGUGGGCUUGCAGCCGAUACGGGCAGGCUUGAGUUCGGUAGGGGAGACUGGAAUUCCUGGUGUAGCGGUGAAAUGCGUAGAUAUCAGGAGGAACACCGGUGGCGAAGGCGGCUACCUGGACAGAAACUGACGCUGAGGCACGAAAGCUAGGGGAGCAAACAGG